rfam:Folsomia candida strain VT population Fcan01_Sc012, whole genome shotgun sequence.
GGCUUGUUGGUCUAGGGGUAUGAUACCCGCUUAGGGUGCGGGUGGUCCCGGGUUCAAAUCCCGGACAAGCCC